UACGAAGGUCCCAAGCGUUAUCCGGAUUUAUUGGGUUUAAAGGGUGCGUAGGCGGGCUAUUAAGUCAGUGGUGAAAGCCUCAAGCUUAACUUGAGAAUUGCCAUUGAUACUGACGACCUUGAGUACAUUUGAAGUGGGCGGAAUGUGUCAUGUAGCGGUGAAAUGCUUAGAUAUGACACAGAACACCGAUUGCGAAGGCAGCUCGCUACACGAAUAUUGACUCUGAGGCACGAAAGCGUGGGGAUCAAACAGG
rnacentral:rRNA from 1 species